rnacentral:rRNA from 1 species
UACAGAGGCUGCAAGCGUUAUUCGGAUUCACUGGGCGUAAAGGGUGCGCAGGCGGCCGUGUGUGUGAGGCGUGAAAGCCCGGGGCUUAACCCCGGAAUUGCACCUCAAACUACACGGCUAGAGCAUUGGAGAGGGUAGCAGAAUUCACGGUGUAGCAGUGAAAUGCGUAGAUAUCGUGAGGAAUACCAGAGGCGAAGGCGGCUACCUGGACAAUUGCUGACGCUCAGGCACGAAAGCGUGGGGAGCAAAAGGG